GAUGAACGCUAGCGACAGGCUUAACACAUGCAAGUCGAGGGGCAGCAUAGAAGUAGCAAUACUUUGGUGGCGACCGGCGCACGGGUGAGUAACGCGUAUGCAACCUACCUAUCAGAGGGGAAUAACCCGGCGAAAGUCGGACUAAUACCGCAUAAAACAGGGGCACCGCAUGGUGAUAUUUGUUAAAGAAAUUCGCUGAUAGAUGGGCAUGCGUUCCAUUAGGUAGUUGGUGAGGUAACGGCUCACCAAGCCGACGAUGGAUAGGGGAACUGAGAGGUGGUCCCCCACACUGGUACUGAGACACGGACCAGACUCCUACGGGAGGCAGCAGUGAGGAAUAUUGGUCAAUGGGCGAGAGCCUGAACCAGCCAAGUCGCGUGAAGGAAGAAGGAUCUAUGGUUCGUAAACUUCUUUUGCAGGGGAAUAAAGUGCAGGACGUGUCCUGUUUUGUAUGUACCCUGAGAAUAAGGAUCGGCUAACUCCGUGCCAGCAGCCGAC
rnacentral:rRNA from 1 species